rnacentral:lncRNA from 1 species
UUUACCAAAUGCAAACGGAGUUCUUCCGAUCAAUGGACUACAUGUUUCAGGGAGAUGCUGCCUUGCUGCAGAACACUUCGGAUGCUACUAAAAAUGUUGUUGAGUUUGUAACCUCACCAAACAAUCCAGAUGGGCAGCUGAAGAAGGCAAUUUUUGAAGGCCCGAAUGCUAAAGCAAUCUAUGAUCGUGUAUACUACUGGCCACAUUUUACAGCAAUUCCUGCUCCAGCAGAUGACGAUCUCAUGAUAUUUACAAUUUCUAAGCUCACUGGCCAUGCCGGUACUAGAUUCGGGUACGUAACCAACUAACCAACAUUUUCUUCCAUAUUCUCCCCAACCCUUAGUUAAAUAUAACGUUGUAAAAAACAAAAACAUAUUCUUCCACAUCCAUUGAAUUUUAUAGUGAGAUAUUCUGCUUGAAUUUUAUCACCCUAAACCCUAAGUAAAGUCCCUUUAGGUAAUCAUAUUAAUGUUUUGCCUUGUGCAGGUGGGCAUUGGUAAAGGAUGAGUCUGUGUACCAAAGGAUGACCCAGCAUAUACUCAUGAGUAGCUUAGGUAUUUCUCGAGAUGCUCAGCUAAGAGCUUUGAAGCUUCUAAAUGUCGUCCUUGAAACCGGAGGCAGGGAAAUCUUUGAGUUCGGAUACCACACUUUGAAGAAACGCUGGGAAAAUUUGACAAACAUCCUGUCUCUGUCAAACCGCUUUACUCUUCAAAAGUUUGAACCCAAAUACUGCAACUUUUUCAAGAAUAUUAGAGACCCUUCACCAGGUAAUGUACUAUAACUCAUCCUGUGCUUUUCGAAACAUGCUAGAGUACGUGUGUGUAGGUUACUUAAUUUAAGAAUUCUUGUAUAAACAUAGGACAUUGCACCUUUCAAAGUUAAUGAGAGUUUAACGUUCAUGAUGACAUAUUCUCUUGUAAACACCGUACAGAAGUGCGCAAGUGUCUGCGUGUAAUGAUUUAUCGAUUUGGUGACAGAGAAAGUGAAAAUUAUGUUUUGACGAUCAAAUGAAUUUGCAGCUUAUGCAUGGGUGAAGUGCGAGAGGGAAGAGGAUAAAGAUUGCUAUGAAGUUCUGAAACAAGAAGCGAAUGUUUAUGGUCGUCCAGGUGCUGAAUUUGGAGCUGAAGAUCGAUAUGUUCGUCUCACCCUCUUAAGGAACCAAGAUGAUUUUGAUUUAUUGCUUCAGCGACUCAACCAAUUAGUCUUGGAUGAAGGGAAGAGCAAAAUAAUUAUUUCUUCUCAAGUAGGGGGUCAAUACGUGACUUAAUCUGCUACAGAGAAACAUUGCAGAAUUAUAGUAGAGCACUGCUCGUGCUCCCUUAUGUACGUUUGUAGAAAUAUAGGAGAGCACUACUUGUGCUCCCUUAUGUACGUCUAUAUAUAGCGGUCACCAUUUAGUCUCGGAAGAAAGACACGGCCAACAAACCAUAUGUAAACCAUUUGAUCGCAAAAUAACCACCCCACAAUCUUUAUGAGCAUUUGUUUUUCCUGCAAUUCUCUUAAACACAAUUCCUCAGUUCCGUCAACAUUCUGGUGCCCUAAACAUGCCAUGAAAUAAAUUAAAGUAUAUAAUCAGAUCAAUAUACAACCUUUGUCGCUUUGAAGUUCUACAAACAUAUGGUGCAUAUUUACCACGUAACGCAAAUGGUAAGCUCCAUAAUGUACAUUUUCCUUGUGCCUAUCGUCUGUGUUUUAUUGUGUGCAAAAUAAGGUAAAUAAGAAAAUCUCCUCCCACAAACCCGUUGGACUCACCAGCCCUAAUCACAACCCUGUUGCUCUCUUUCCUUCCCCUAACAACUUGAGGAGCAUAGUUCAAUGCAUUCCGGUCUACAUACACAAGCAUAUGCUGAACAAGCCCGAAAGAUGAAGCCGCAGUAUUGAACGCUUGACGGCGGCUUCAUACAGUGAGACUGACUUGGGUGGGGUUUUCAAUUGAAAAUGGCAAAUAUCUAAUUAAUUGCGUAAAAGGGUUUAAGGUUUCUGACCUGUUGGAAUGAAGUGUACAGAAAAGUGGCAAAAGUCGAGAGGUAUAAGCAUUGCCAGACGUUUAGAUGUAUCUUUGAUUUCUCAAUGGACUCGAGUUGCCUUUGAAGAUCCAGCCAGAGUUAUAGCGGGUGACCACAAUGGCACUUUCCUGGGUGGUGUUUCCCUGCACUCUCACCUAUCUUCCCCCAAUGCGGCGGAAGCACUGACAGUGCUAAUGGGCCGGAAAUUUGCUCAAGCAAAGAGCUUCAACUGGACAAUAAAAUACAAAUUGAAAGGAAAGAUGCAAAAAGUCCACAAAAUUUCAAAAUAUACAUACAUGCACUACAAUAGAAAAUGGAAAAUACGUCCAAACAAUACAGUUUUCAUCCAUAGAAAUCAGUUGCUCUGGACCUUGAUGUUGCUUAUGUGCUGUGCAUAACCAAAGGUAUUUCAGAGCUGCCUUUUAAAUCUGUAAAAUUGCCGCAUUUUGUUUUGCAAUAUACACUUUUUUUUUUCCUUUUUAGCUGUUGCAUUGUUCGUUAUCAUCCCCCAUACUUUCUUCCUAAGGAAUAAGGCUUAAUUUUGACUCUCAAAGAGAGAAAAUCUGUAUAAAUGGGAAAGUCGAUCCUUACGCCACAACUGGUCUUUUCGGUCCUACUAAGGGCUGGUUUGGUAUUGCUGUGCUUUGAAAAAAAAUUGUUGUGAGAAUAAGCGGAUGUGUUGUGAGAAUAAGCGGAUAUGAAAUAAAUCAGCAGAGUGUUUGGUAAACUUUUUUUGUAAAAGUGCUUUUGGAAAAAUAAGCAGUCUGAUAGUGGGUCUUUUCAUUAAAGGAGCACUGUAGCUCCGUGUGCUUUGAAAAAAAAGCCAGUUUUCCAAAGCUGCAAAUAGCAGCUUCAGUUUUUUCCUUUGAUUUCAGCUUAUUCUCAAAGUAGCUUCCAAAAUAAGCCUUUUUUUUUUUUUCAGUUUACCAAACACCUAAAACCCUCACAGUUUUUUUUCAUAGAUGCUUUUUUUUUUUAAGCACCUUACUUCCAAACCACCCCUAACUGCUUUUGUUUCAAUCGGCUGAAUGUCCUCCUGUAUAAAAACAAAAGGAACCUACAAUAACAAUCAAAAGCAGGUACACUUUGAAAGGGGUUCCCCAAAUGAUGCUCAUACUUUCCCAGCUGCAAUCACAGGCACUUUGAAGUUGAAUUCCUCUGGGAUUGACUUCAGGAUCAAGAACAAAAUCCCCAUUUGUCGUGCCUGCUUCUUCCAACCAGAUACAUGUCGUCUUUGAUUUAUACCCAGGCACAGUAGCUGUGACUGCACGUAACCAAGUAAAUCCAACAGAAAACUCAGGCAUCAAAAUUAUAACUAUACGGAUAAAUCCAUAACAUAUUUGUUUCCAAAGGCCUUCGACAAGUUUAUUGUCAAGGCCUCAAGAUACAGAUUGUAUACUCAUGUGUUGUCGAAAAGCAAAUACAGUUAUUAGGGCUGCAAUUCCUUUUUAUCCCUUCCCUUCUUUAUCAUAAACGAAGUUCAAUUACCAAUCCAGUAGCGGCAAUUACACCAGGAAUAAGAAGAACAGGAAAAGAGGACCUUCACGCCACAUCUUCUCAUUUCAUGCCCUCAAUAAUGAUGGGGCGCAAAAAAUCCACUAACACUCUAGAUCUAGGCCAAGUUUAUUGGAAGGAGAAAUAUGUUCAACGCUGUUAGAUUACAGAGAAGAGUAAUUAUUAUAGGAUUUAGGAGAGAAAAAUGUAAAUUUCAGAAAGAGAAUUCACAGAGGAGAUGAUUCAAUUUCAUUUCAUCAUUGAGAUCUUAUCGGAAUGUGACCGACUUCAACAACAAAUGUAGGGCACUGUUACAUCUCUCUCUCACACAAGAAAGAAUACAUCACAGCCAUUCAUUUCAUCUAUCCUAUGAGAUAGCUACAUUUGUCACUCUAUAUUGCUAACUGUCAUUCAAUCUAGAGCAUUCAUUUUGGAAUGUAAUCCAAUGACUCUAAUUAAAACAAGUAAAAUAAAUUGCUUUAUUUCAGCUAAAACACUUAAACACUAACACUCCCUUCUAAGCGUUUAGCUGAAAUCACUCCCAAAGCCUUCCUCAAAUACUCAAAUCUAUCCCUUGCCAAUGCUUUUGUAAAGAUAUCAGCAACUUGUUCUUCAGUUUUGCAGUAAAUCAGAUCAACUUCACCAUUUUGCAGAGCAUCUCGGAUGAAAUGGAACCUUCUAUUUAUGUGUCUUGUUUUAUGAUGUGCCACGGGAUUCUUAGAGAUUGCAAUGGCUGAAGUGUUAUCACAUAGAAUCUGAGUUGGUUCCACUUGUUCCUCUACAAAAUCUGAUAAGACAAAUAUUAACCAGAUGGCUUGAGCAGUUGCUUCUGCAGCACUAACAUACUAUGUCUCUGCAGUGGACAAUGCUACACUGCUUUGUUUGAUUGAGGCCCAAGAAAAUGCUCCAGAACCAAAACUAAAAGCAUAUCCGGAAGUGCUCUUCAUGUCAUCUUUCACUUCCUGCCCAAUCACUAUCACAGUAUCCAAUAAGCACAACAUCUUUACCCUUCUCAUAUGCAAUUCCAUAGUCCAGUGUACCUUGGAUGUACCUUAGCACUCUCUUUGCAGUUCCCAUAUGUUUCCUGGUUGGAUUAUGCAUGAAUCGAGCAAGUAGACUUGUAGCAAACAUGAUAUCAGGUCUUGUAGCUAUUAAGUAUAACAGACUAUCUACAAUCUGCCUAUAGAGACUUUCAUCAGCUAGUUCACUUCUAUCUUCUUUGAUUAAUCUUUCAUUUGUUGCAAGUGGAGUUGCAACAGAUUUGCACUCCUUCAAUCCAAAUUUCUCCAACAAGGUUCUUGCAUAUUUCUUUUGAUGCAGAAAUAUACUACCUUCUGUUUGUAUGACACCAAGUCCCAAAAAAUGAUGUAAUAGUCCCAAAUCAGACAUUUCAUAUUUUCCCAUCAUUUCUGCUUUAAACUCAUUCAUUAAUGCACUGGAACUCCCUGUGUAUAUAAUAUCAUCAACAUACAAAGAAACAAUGAGAAUUCCUGCCUCAGUGACUUUGAUGUAGAGAGUUGCUUCACUUGGACUUCUAUGAAAACCAGUACUGCAGAAGUGAGAGUCAAUUUCCUUGUACCAGGCUCGUGGUGCCUGUUUCAAUCCAUACAAGGCUUUCUUGAGCUUGUAAACUUUGUCCUCCUUGCCUUCAAUCACAAAACCAAGUGGUUGAUCUACAUAUACUUACUCAUUUAGAACUCCAUUCAGAAAUGCUGACUUUACAUCAAGUUGGAACAGCUUCCAUCCUUUCUGUGCAGCAAGUCCAAUUAAAGUCCUGAUAGUAUCAAGUCUUGCCACAGGAGAAAAUGUCUCAUUGAAAUCGACCCCAGGCUUUUGAGAGUAUCCCUUAGCCACUAACCUUGCCUUAUUCUUCUGUAUAGACCCAUCUAGGUUCAAUUUUGUUUUGUAGAUCCAUUUGACACCAACAAUUGGUUUAUCAAGUGGUCUAUCAACAAGUUCCCAAGUAUAGUUUUUCUCUAUCAUGCCAAUUUCUGCCUGCAUUGCCUUCUGCCAUGACUCAUCUUGUGAUGCUUCCUCAAAGUUCUCAAGCUCAACUAUGCACAGAUUGCAUUUUGCAUACACUUUUGUCAAACUCUUGAACUUCAAAGGUGUGUGAUCAUAGUCUUGUGGACCUGUGAUAUUCUGCAUUGGGACCAACCUUGAGCCAUUUUCAAUUGACUCACAGACUUCAUAUGCAGACUCAUCAUUUACAUUGCACCUGUCACUUGAACUACUUUCUUCUCUUUGUUUUCUCAUUUCCACUUCAGGUGGUGGUACACUGAUAAUCUUAUCAGAUUGAGAUUCCCAAUCCCAGCAAGUAUUUUCAUCAAAUAUCACAUCUCUUGACACAAUUAUCUUCUUUGAUACAAGGUCAUAAAGUCUAUAACCUUUCUCACAUGUACCAUAUCCCAAAAAAAUACAUUUAGUGCUGGUCUCAUCUAGCUUCUGCCUUAGUUGAGUUGGAAUAUGAGCAUAACAUAUAGAACCAAAAAUCUUCAUGUGUUUGAUUCCUGGCUUUCUUCCACUAUAAGCCUCAAAAGGAGUCUUCUUAUCUAGAGCCUUAGUGGGACAUCUAUUCAGAGUGUACACUGCUGUGUUAACAGCUUCUGCCCAGAAAUCAAGUGGAACUCCCUUCUCAACCAUCAUACAUUUUGCCAUUUCCACUAUGGUUCUAUUCUUUCUCUCAGCCACACCAUUUUGAUGUGGUGUAUAGGCUACUGUUAGUUGUCUUUCCAUGCCCAUUUCUUCACAAAAUUUCCUGAAUUCAGUAGAUGUAUACUCCCCUCCUCUAUCACUUCUCAACUUUUUCAACUGAUAACCACUUUGCAAUUCAACUGUGGCCUUAAAUUUCUUGAAGAUAUCAAAUACCUCCGACUUGUUUCUCAAGAAAUAGAUCCAACACAUUCGAGUGCAAUCAUCUAUAAAGGUAAGAAAAUACCUAUUUCCUGCUAUAGUUGUGGUUUGCAUAGGUCCACAAAUAUCUGAGUGAAUAAGUUCUAGAGGGAGAGUAGCUUUCCAUGAUGCUUCCUUUGGAAAUGCAUCUCUGCAAUGCUUCCCAAAAACACAACCUUUACAUAUCUCAUCUAUCAUCGUAAGCUCAGGUAAUCCCAACACCAUAUCAUGUUCUUUGAGUUGCUUCAGACUGUUUAAGUUCAAAUGUCCCAGUCUCCUAUGCCAGAGUGUAGAAGACUGACAUACAUUAGCUUUUAGAGCAAUUUGCAUCUCAGGUUUAAGUCUCAAAGGAAAACUUCUAUUGCCCUUCAUUGGUACUCUAGCUAUCAAAUUAGACAUUGAUCUAUCAUCAUAUAUUUCUGCAGUUGUACCUCCAAACACAAGAAAGUAACCGUGUUCCAUCAUUUGCCCUACACUGAGCAAAUUUUCUUUUAAUCCUGGAAUUAACAUCACUUCCUUGAUAUAUCUCCUUCCCAGUUUGGUAUCAACUCCUAAACUUCCUUUCCCUGUGACUUCAAUGAGCUGUCCAGUACCCAUUUCUACUUUAGCAGUUAUUUUUCUAUCAAUGUCAAUCAGCAAAUCCUCCCUUCCAGUCAUAUGGUUACUACAACCACUGUCCACAUACCAUAUAUCUUCACUUUUCUUCACAGUGACAUUAUUGCAGACAUAGAACAUGGUAGGAGUAUCAUUUACUUGAUUAACAAAAUUCACAUGCUGGUUAGCCUUCUCAUUCUUGACUCGGCAAUCUCUUGCAAUAUGUCCCAACUUAUGACAACUAUGACACCUUGGUUUAUCUUUGAACCAACAUUCACCAAAAUGCAGUUUAUCACAAUGUAUACAAGGAUUCUUAGCUCCAUCAGAAGUACUUGCAAUUUUUCCAGUUUGAUUCACAGGUCUAUUAUCUCAUUUCUUCCAUUUAGACUUCCAACUUUUCUGUGGUUUGAAUCCUUGAUUUCCAUUGUACUUAUUCUGCUUUGGACCAAUACUGAGACUAACAAAUGCUUUCUCAGUGUGGGAUUCAUCAUGCCUGUCAAUUCUUUGCUUAUAGCCCUUGAGAAUAGCUACCACAUCUUGAACAUCAACAGUAUCUAGAUCCUUAGUAUUCUCGAUGACAGAAGCAAUACUAUCAUACGAUCUAGGUAAACUGAUAAGCAGUUUUUGAACAAUUCUCUGAUUACUUAUAUCCUCACCAUAGCUUCUCAUUUGACUAAUCAAAUCAAAUAAUCUAACUAGAUAUGUGGAGAAUGCUUCAUUUUCACCCAUUCUAGUAUAUUCAAAAUCACGGCGUAAGCCUUGGAGUUUUACAGCCCGUACCUGUUUAUCUCCCACAAACUCUUGUUUCAGCACAUUCCAAGUAGCAUUUGCAGUCUCUUGGAUGGCGAUUCUCGGAAAAAUCUGAUCAGAGACGACUCCCUGAAUAAUUCCAAGUGCCUUCGCAUCUCUGACUAUAUUCUCCUUCAAUAGCUUGCUUUCAGCUACAGUGAGUUCUUCAUCCUUCUUCGCCGAAGUUUCAACACCCUUUUCGACGAUAUCCCAGAGCUCGUGCGAUCGGAAUAUUGUCUUCAUCCGAAUCUGCCAGAAAUCAAAAUUAUCACCAUUGAAUACCGGCGCACGAAGAUCAGCUCCACUCGAUCCAGCCAUGUGAGACGAGAUCUAAGAUCACUACACUUUCUUCUCCGAGUUUUCCUCAAUGAGAAAACUCAACGGUCAGUUCGAGCUCUUCACUGUGAGCUUCACAGAUUCACGCCCAGUUGCAGAGGAUGCAACCCGGCUUUGAGGCCAUGUUAGAUUACAGAGAAGAGUGAUUAUUAUAGGAUUUAGGAGAGAAAAAUGUAAAUUUCAGAAAGAGAAUUCACAGAGGAGAUGAUUCAAUUUCAUUUCAUCAUUGAGAUCUUAUCGGAAUGUGACCGACUUCAACAACAAAUGUAGGGCACUGUUACAUCUCUCUCUCACACAAGAAAGAAUACAUCACAGCCAUUCAUUUCAUCUAUCCUAUGAGAUAGCUACAUUUGUCACUCUAUAUUGCUAACUGUCAUUCAAUCUAGAGCAUUCAUUUUGGAAUGUAAUCCAAUGGCUCUAAUUAAAACAAGUAAAAUAAAUUGCUUUAUUUCAGCUACAACACUUAAACACUAACAAACGCCAUGGUAGAUUUUGUUUCACCAAGCAACUAACUAUUACCAUAUGACAUACAUGAAAAAGUGUACAACUAUGGAAAUGUGGUCUAUAAUAUGAUACCAGUAGUUUUAAUUCUUAAAUUGCAUAACAUUUCCUCUUUUUCAUUUUUAAAGCAUCCAGCUCGGGAUGAACAAGGGAUGUAAUCUGUAAAUACCCUUAUAUCUUCCGGCGGGGGCAAGCAAGCUAUGGUAAUCCACAAUUGCUCUGCUAGCUUGAACCUGCCAGUCAAAAAGAUGAGCCAUUGGUUUACAUGUAGUCCUCUUCAGCUUAUCAAAUAAUGUAAAACAGCUAAUUGACCAAAAAGGUAUAACAAAUUAUGAUAUAAACGGAAAGGUGUAGAAAGAAUAAGUGCCACUCCAAUGUUAUCCAGUUUUCUUUUGUUUUGAAAUGUACUUAUCAAACAGACCGUUUUGUCAUUUAUUUCUAUCAUCAUACGGCUGGAAAAUAUGCCAACAAUACUUUAGGCUACUCAACAGGGUUUUGACCAACUAUUCAAUUUGAUUCUAAGACUUCAGUCCAAUCUCACAUCUCAAACUGAAGCCAUAUUAUACCUAAUAGGAAAAACAACCUAUCCCUCAAUUUGAAGAAUAAAAUGAAAGUUCGUCAACAUACCUUGGAAUUUAUUCCUUUGAUAGCAAUAAAGCCAGGUAACGGCGUCUGAUGAAAAGAUCCUUCCAUGUACUCCUAUCUAAAGGGUAUAAGUAGAGUGUAGUUAAACGAUAUCACACCCAUCUAAAAUUAAACAUUUGAAAAAUCUGGAAUGGCGUCAUGGGAGAAUUUUCGCUCUAAAUCUCAAAAUGUUUCACACAGAGAAAGUUAUUUCGAGAAUACUUAAAAUGCUAUGCACUUGUGAUUACUCUUCUCAUGAUCAAAACAACAUGUGAAUCAAGUACCAUGGAAUCAAUCAACAGACCACAAGCUAAAAUAAUUAAACAUUCAGUCCCUGUGGUAAGACCAUCUAAUAACAUAUUGAUAGGCAGCCAUAACAUACCUUGGCUACAGUUGCAACGAGAUUAAGCAUGCUCAUUUUGUUGCAUCCCCAAAGAGUCAGAAGCUGCACGUUUAUAUGCAUUAAAGACAACACGUCAAACAGCUAAAUGAUAGUAAGUUCAAAUGAAAGAGAAAUAAUCUCCUAGGCCAAUAAAAGUCACUUGUGCCAAUUGAUCAUCCAAUAAAAGUCCUUGAGUCUUCCUAACUAAAUGGAUAUAAAACUACCAAAAAUUCCCAUAUCACAAAUCAACUAGAACAUGUAAACAAGCAAGAAUGCAAAGCUUAUGUUAAUAGGAAACAAGAAACAGGCAAAAAACAUAUAACUAACAUUGUGCCUCGUGUAUAGGAGAGGAACAAGAAACAUAACAUGAUAUUAGAAUAAU